AUAUCUAUGCUCCAACUUGAGGGGGAGUGUUGACAGAUGUUAUUGUAUGUACCGUACACAGAUUUAGUGCCCGCAGGGGUAUUUUUGUAAUUUCUAUACCACUUGUGUUGUACGGCCAGUAUAGUAUAAAUACAAAUGCUUCACUCGCAUGAAGCAAGUUCUCUUGAGGCAUUAAGUCUGCCAGCCUCCUCUCUUCUUUCUUCUCCUUCUUCCUUCUUCUCUUUCUCUUCUUUCUCUUGCUCAACACUUACCAAGGUUAAAAGUAUGAAUAUGAUGUGCCCCAUAUUGGGCAAUCAUAUUGUACCUUUUGAUGCCUGAUAUGAAGAAAAAAAAUGAGAGUUUUGGUCAAUACAAAAUGCUCGAUACGCAAAUUCUAUGCAUCAAGUGUAUUGAUACUUUGAACCAUGGUCUUGACCAAAACUCUUGUUUAUUUUUUUGGUGUUAGAUUUUGAAAGGGGCAUUAUGAUAUUGUCCCUUAACAUGCAAAAUUAUUAAAAUCUGCUAAAUCCCUUUAAAUAGUGUAUUGGGACCAUAAGAUACAAUACAAUAUGCCUGAUAUGGGAUGUAUAAUAUCAAUAUUUUGACCCUUGGAUUUCAUAUUGAUCAUAGCCGUUCCUUGUCCUUUCAGUUCUUUAGAUCUAAUUAAAAAGGAGGAAGAGGAUUGUGACCAAUCCAAAAAGAAACAAAGCAUAAAGAGGAUGUAUGGGUGGGGUAUAUAAGCCAAACAUUGCAACUUUCCUCGCUCAGGGCAGGGAUAAGACAUCAAUGAGUUAAUGGCUUUAUGCUGGGUAAUUUCAUUUGCAAGUUAGCAAUUAAAUUGUUGGUUUGGCUUGUGGAAUUUAAAUUGUCCAAAAAAAAAAUCUGGUUUGCCUUGUUCUCUUAGACUAUAUAGUGUGCUAAUUCAUGGUACUAAGCAAGGCAUGUGUUAUUGAACUAAACUGAUUUUUUUUGCUCCCCAUGGACCAUCUUUAUACGAGAGAUGCAUCCAAGAGUUGGAAGCAAUCUGGCUCUGAUGGAAAUAGCCGCUUGACCAUCAAGGAGUCCUCAGCAAACAUACUCUUGUUGGAUUAUAUUUCAUCUGAGAAAUGGAAGGAUAUUGUAGAUUUUGAUGACCACCUUGAUGACAUUAGCAAGGACUGGUUGAACGAAGAUCUUUUCAAGUAGUACACUCGAGCCAUUUUUUUAAAUGUCUUCUGCUCUUAUUAUCAACACUGCAAAUUGUUUGCUGCAUGGGUUUGCUUGUGCUGGAUUGGGAAGACAUAAUGAUUACUGACAAAGCGAGAGUUAUUACAGGCUUAACGGAGCUCUUGGCCUAUGUGGAGGGAAAGCUGCCUAAGAAUGUUCUUGAUCAGAACCGGUUGUAUAUUUCCCUUCCUUUAGACAGUAAGCCCAGAAAGAUGAUCUUCUCUAUAUCAAACAGCGAGUGGUGGCAUUGAUCCAUCAUUUUGAACA